GAUACUCAGUCCCCAUGGAAACGGACCGAACAAACAUCCCAAACAAACAAACGGCCGUUUCGCCCUAAGUUUUCACCGAUCCGUCCUGUGCGAUAUCAAUCCAAUUAGGCUUUUCUUCUAGUCAUUUGGCAGUGUUUUCGGGCGAAAUUAAAUUUGAAGAAACAUAAUUCGGAAGCGCCAUCGGAGCGGAAACGGUAUCGACGAAAUGGACGACUAUAUGCCCCCACGGUACCAGCUGCUCGGUCGGAUAGGCGAAGGAGUGCACGGCGUUGUGGUGAAGGCAAGGGACCUGAGCAACGACGAUAAGAUAGUGGCCAUCAAAAAGCUCGCUCUCCGGACCAAACAUGGCUGGAUUUCACCGAACACCAUACGGGAGAUUAAGGUGUUGCAGAAUUCGCAGUGUGAAAACAUUCUUUCCUUACUGGACAUGUACCCUGAUCUGUCCGGAAUAUCGCUGGUGUUUGAGUACAUGCCCUACACACUGUACAGUAAAAUGAAGGACGAGGAGCAUCCCCUUUCCCGGCACGAAAUUCGUCGCUACAUGGCCAUGCUGCUGAACGGACUGAAAUAUCUGCACGAACUGCUAAUCAUGCACCGGGACAUAAAACCGGCCAAUUUGCUAAUUGACCGGCAUGAUGUGCUGAAGAUUUGUGACUUCGGUUUGGCCCGACUGUUUAACGAUCAGGACCCUUCGAAGGUGUACUCCCCACAAGUGGCAACCCGAUGGUACCGGGCCCCGGAGAUACUCUGGGGAUGUCAAACGUACGGACCUUCGAUCGAUAUGUGGGCUGCGGGCUGUGUGUUUGCCGAAAUGCUUCGAGGUGUGCCACUCUUUUCCGGGGCGACCGAUAUCGAACAGUUAGCGCUGGUGGUGCGCACUCUGGGGACGCCCAUCUUGAAGGAAUGGCCGGAGGUGCGAAGCCUGCCCGACUAUAACAAAAUACGGUUCCCCAAUGCAAAGGGUGAACGGUGGGAGGACAUUUUCCCCAGCUUCACCACGAAAAACGAGAUUGGCCUGGUGGAUGGGCUGGUGAUGUACAACCCGAAUCGACGACUGACAGCCGAAAAGGCCAUGCAGCAACCGUAUUUUACCGAUGGAGAUGAAAGCUAGGACCCCGAUAGAUCACACAAGCUGGAGUCCUGACGAGCUGUGGUCCAACCCCAAAGCGGAUAUUAUCAUCACGUCAGCGGUGUCAUCCGACAUAUGAAAUUUCCUUGCUAGAUACGCGAGAGAUCCGCAGGUGGUGAUUACUAUGGCGAAACGGGCGAAACUCACAGCUCUUUUCCGCAUCGGGUGAGGUAUCACGCUGCCCUAAAAAUAAAUAUUAUUAGAAUACAAUGGAUUUUAUUGUAUCCAUACAAAAUU